GACGAACGCUGGCGGCGUGCCUAAUACAUGCAAGUUGAGCGCUGAAGGCUGGUACUUGUACCAACUGGAUGAGCAGCGAACGGGUGAGUAACGCGUGGGGAAUCUGCCUUUGAGCGGGGGACAACAUUUGGAAACGAAUGCUAAUACCGCAUAAAAACUUUAAACACAAGUUUGAAGGUUGAAAGAUGCAAUUGCAUCACUCAAAGAUGAUCCCUCGUUGUAUUAGCUAGUUGGUGAGUUAAAGGCUCAACAAGGCGAGGAUACAUAGCCGACCUGAGAGGGUGAUGGGCCGGCUUGGGACUGAGACACGGCCCAAAGGCCUAGGGGAGGAAGCAGUAGGGAAUCGUCGGGAAUGGACGAAAGUCUGACCGAGAAAGGCCGGGGGCGGGAAGAAGGAUGUCGGAUCGUGAAACUCGGUUGGUAGAGAAGAACGUUGGUGAGCGUGGAAAGCUCAUAAAGUGACGGUAACUACACAGAAAGGGACGGCUAACUACGUG
rnacentral:rRNA from 1 species